rnacentral:lncRNA from 1 species
CUCUCUCUCUUUCUUGAGUAACGUCGCGAGAUGAGUCACGUGACAUUACCAGAUACACACACACGCAUACAAUACAAACCGCCAAUUUCACAUCUACAAUACAUAAGUACCAGUACUACGCUAGUAGAUUUUCUUUUUAUCGGAACAUUUCAGUGCAAUUCCAAUAUGUCUGGUGCAAUCUUAAAGACUGUACGCUAUGCGUUUAUUGAGGAACUCAUUAGCUUGCACUCGCUUAAUCCCUAGUUUAUGCGCAACGAUUCCAGUCAUGAAAACAUCUUCGAGUUUAAGGUUUGCCUGAUUGCUGUCCUUGCUUCCACAUGCGUAGGUGCUGACAUUAUAAUAAUAACCAAGUCCAUUUCUUUGCCAAAAUCUGGACAUUUUUCUGGUAUAGAUUGAGCGAGGUGCUUACGGAAGACAAAACUUGAGAACUAGAUGACGUAGAAAGUGUAGUGAUAAUUGUUGCAGGAUUGCUUGCAUUAUGUUGAGAAUAAGAAUUCAAAGUCAAAGGUUCAUACGUCAUAUUUUUGGGCAUGGAUUGGAUAUCUAUGCUAUGGUUCGAUUGAUUUCUAAGUGCAUCCUGAUAAAUGGCGUGACCUGAAAUAAAUAAAUCUAUCAGAUGACUGUUGCACAAAGGAUUUGGAAAGGAAAAUUUUCAAUGAAGGAUGAUUCUCUAAAAUAAGCAUUAAAAAUCAAAAAAGAAUACUCACUGAAAUUUCUAGCUGAACCAAACUGGUGAAUAUCAUAGAAGGUGGUACGAUAGUAAGCAUAAAAAGUUAGAACUAUCAAGCCAAGAAUGAGGCUCUGCAAAGGGCGAUUACGAGGAUGCAAAAAUUGGUACAUGACGAGUCGCGUAUUUUGCAAGAGGGGGCCUCGUACGAUUGUCUAAUUCCGUUCUAUCAAAUAAUAACGGCGUACAUGCAUACGUCGUUGAUUAUAUAUCGUCGUGAUUGUCACGUUUCGUUAGAAUCGUUAGUAAGUGUCGUGUUAUCUCGUCUGGUUACUGUUAACUACCGAUAACCACUGUAGUACUCUUUUCAAAGUAGAAGCGAGCGUGCAGGUAUAAAUUCCAUACUGUGAGUAAAGUAAACUCUUGAAGAUUCUUCUA